rnacentral:rRNA from 1 species
CGUAUCACUUAAAGCGAUUCAGCGGGUUACGAUUGACGGAGCGAAGCGACGUCAAAGCGUAUACAAAGUCGAGUCGGUUUAAGGAUACGUUCGUUGGGUAGGGGAGCGUUCUGUAAGCCUGCGAAGGUGGCCUGUGAGGGUUGCUGGAGGUAUCAGAAGUGCGAAUGCUGACAUAAGUAACGAUAAAGCGGGUGAAAAGCCCGCUCGCCGGAAGACCAAGGGUUCCUGUCCAACGUUAAUCGGGGCAGGGUGAGUCGACCCCUAAGGCGAGGCCGAAAGGCGUAGUCGAUGGGAAACGGGUUAAUAUUCCCGUACUUGGUGUUACUGCGAAGGGGGGACGGAGAAGGCUAUGUUGGCCGGGCGACGGUUGUCCCGGUUUAAGCGUGUAGGUGUGUGUUCCAGGUAAAUCCGGUUCACUUUAACACUGAGGCGUGAUGACGAGGCACUACGGUGCUGAAGCAACAAAUGCCCUGCUUCCAGGAAAAGCCUCUAAGCAUCAGGUAACAUCAAAUCGUACCCCAAACCGACACAGGUGGUCAGGUAGAGAAUACCAAGGCGCUUGAGAGAACUCGGGUGAAGGAACUAGGCAAAAUGGUGCCGUAACUUCGGGAGAAGGCACGCUGACAUGUAGGUGAAGUGAUUUACUCAUGGAGCUGAAGUCAGUCGAAGAUACCAGCUGGCUGCAACUGUUUAUUAAAAACACAGCACUGUGCAAACACGAAAGUGGACGUAUACGGUGUGACGCCUGCCCGGUGCCGGAAGGUUAAUUGAUGGGGUCAGCGCAAGCGAAGCUCCUGAUCGAAGCCCCGGUAAACGGCGGCCGUAACUAUAACGGUCCUAAGGUAGCGAAAUUCCUUGUCGGGUAAGUUCCGACCUGCACGAAUGGCGUAAUGAUGGCCAGGCUGUCUCCACCCGAGACUCAGUGAAAUUGAACUCGCUGUGAAGAUGCAGUGUACCCGCGGCAAGACGGAAAGACCCCGUGAACCUUUACUAUAGCUUGACACUGAACAUUGAGCCUUGAUGUGUAGGAUAGGUGGGAGGCUUUGAAGUGUGGACGCCAGUCUGCAUGGAGCCGACCUUGAAAUACCACCCUUUAAUGUUUGAUGUUCUAACGUGGACCCGUAAUCCGGGUUGCGGACAGUGUCUGGUGGGUAGUUUGACUGGGGCGGUCUCCUCCUAAAGAGUAACGGAGGAGCACGAAGGUUGGCUAAUCCUGGUCGGACAUCAGGAGGUUAGUGCAAUGGCAUAAGCCAGCUUGACUGCGAGCGUGACGGCGCGAGCAGGUGCGAAAGCAGGUCAUAGUGAUCCGGUGGUUCUGAAUGGAAGGGCCAUCGCUCAACGGAUAAAAGGUACUCCGGGGAUAACAGGCUGAUACCGCCCAAGAGUUCAUAUCGACGGCGGUGUUUGGCACCUCGAUGUCGGCUCAUCACAUCCUGGGGCUGAAGUAGGUCCCAAGGGUAUGGCUGUUCGCCAUUUAAAGUGGUACGCGAGCUGGGUUUAGAACGUCGUGAGACAGUUCGGUCCCUAUCUGCCGUGGGCGCUGGAGAACUGAGGGGGGCUGCUCCUAGUACGAGAGGACCGGAGUGGACGCAUCACUGGUGUUCGGGUUGUCAUGCCAAUGGCACUGCCCGGUAGCUAAAUGCGGAAGAGAUAAGUGCUGAAAGCAUCUAAGCACGAAACUUGCCCCGAGAUGAGUUCUCCCUGAGACUUUAGGUCUCCUGAAGGAACGUUGAAGACGACGACGUUGAUAGGCCGGGUGUGUAAGCGCAGCGAUGCGUUGAGCUAACCGGUACUAAUGAACCGUGAGGCUUAACCUUACA